UGCUGUCCGCCGAUGGAUCUGUUCCGUUCAGAGUCGAUGCAACUCGUCCAAAUCAUCAUUCCGAAUGAAUCUGCUCAUCGGACAAUCGAUUAUCUUGGAGAAAUCGGACUAAUUCAGUUCAAAGAUUUGAAUGCCGAAAAGAGCCCAUUUCAACGAACAUAUGCUAAUCAGAUCAAAAGAUGUGGAGAGAUGGCUCGUAAGUUACGUCUAUUUAAGGAACAAAUGUCCAAAGCAGGCUUGUUAUCUUCUUCUACAUCUGCCACACAAGUUGACUUAAGUUUUGAUGACCUUGAGGUCAAGCUUGGAGAACUUGAAUCAGAGCUGAUAGAAAUGAAUGCUAAUGGCGAUAAGUUACAACGUUCAUACAAUGAGCUUGUGGAAUAUAGACUUGUUUUGAAAAAGGCUGGUGAGUUUUUCCACAUAGCACAAAGCAGUGCUGAAGCUCUACAUCGAGAACAGGCAUCAAAUCAAACUGGCGAACAAUCAUUAGAAACUCCUUUGCUAUCAGAACAGGAAGCAGUGACUGAUCCAUCCAAGCAAGUUAAGUUAGGAUUUAUUACUGGACUUGUUCCGAGAGAAAAAUCGAUGGCCUUUGAGAGGAUUCUCUUUCGUGCUACCCGGGGUAAUGUGUAUUUGAGGCAGGCUGUAGUUGAAGAGCCCGUCAUCGAUCCCGUUUCUGGAGAGAAGGUUGAGAAA
rnacentral:misc_RNA from 1 species